GACGAACGCUGGCGGCGUGCUUAACACAUGCAAGUCGAACGGAAAGGCCCUGCUUUUGUGGGGUGCUCGAGUGGCGAACGGGUGAGUAACACGUGAGUAACCUGCCCUUGACUUUGGGAUAACUUCAGGAAACUGGGGCUAAUACCGGAUAGGAGCUCCUGCUGCAUGGUGGGGGUUGGAAAGUUUCUGCGGUUGGGGAUGGACUCGCGGCUUAUCAGCUUGUUGGUGGGGUAGUGGCUUACCAAGGCUUUGACGGGUAGCCGGCCUGAGAGGGUGACCGGCCACAUUGGGACUGCGAGACGGCCCAGACUCCUACGGGAGGCAGCAGUGGGGAAUAUUGCACAAUGGGCGGAAGCCUGAUGCAGCAACGCCGCGUGCGGGAUGACGGCCUGCGGGUUGUAAACCGCUUUCGCCUGUGACGAAGCGUGAGUGACGGUAAUGGGUAAAGAAGCACCGGCUAACUACGUG
rnacentral:rRNA from 1 species